rnacentral:lncRNA from 1 species
ACUCCUCAUUUAAUUGUAUGAAUUCCAACUGAAAUCAGUGGGGAGAUUAAACAGGAGUUGGGAGAUUCAAUACUCUGCUGAGUUCUGGCCACCAAUAUCAGUGCACUGCUUAACUCAUAAACUAUAUUUACAAUUUUUGCUCAUAUUCAUCCACUGACACGUUUCAGGUGCUUAUAGAUGCUUCUAAUAGUGUGCCGUAAAUCACUGUAAAGAACUGAAAUACAAUUUUUAGAGUUCAAAUGGGAAUACUCAAUAGAUGUGACUGUUUGCAGGAUCAGGACCUAUUUUCCAGAACAGGUGCUUAAAUGAAAUGAUGAAGUCAUUAUAGUUGAGGAACUUAAUACAGAGAAAUAGCUCACAUUAUUCUAGUACCUAUAGGGCUCUGGCAUAAAUGCCUAAAUUAAAAAUUUGAGAACUUAUUAGGGGGGAGGAUUAGAUUUGGCAUUUCAAUUGGAGAGGAUUUUGUGGAUGUGGGGAAAAAAAAUAACUUCUUUUUUUGUGCAUGUAGAAGAAUUUUUUACCACCUGGAAAAGUUGCAUGGUUUUGACAUCACUUCCAGUUUUUUUCUGCUUUUGAAUUUGCUCCCUUUCUAUGCCACAAGCCUCCUUAGUGCUACAAAAAUCAGUUUGCUCUCAGAACAUGCAUGUGUUCAGGAAAGUACAAAAUGUCUAUCGGAAAGGCAGUAUAGUGCACUCUUUGUGGUCAGAGUGUGGGAAACUCCAUUUAGCUCAUUUUCAUGACAGAAGCACUGAACCACAUUAACACAGAAGGAAGAUGUAGAAAACGUUUAAUGGUACUGGAACGCUUUGUUUAUUCUUAGCUAAGCCUACACGGCUUCCAAAUGAGCCCACUAUGCAGUGUGACUACAUAAGGUUAACUGCUGGGUACAUUAAGCAAAAUACUCUCUCUUAGAUGCUUGUUUAAGUCAUCAUUUCUGACCAUUUAUCAGACUUAAUGUGCUACAGCAGACUGCAGGUCACAAUGUGUCAUUUCCAAAAGAACUUUGACUUUUCCCUUUCCAGGGUCAGGAACCGGUAAUGUUUAGCUGAAAUCACUGCCCUGCACUUCAUAGCUUCCAGUGAGGCUUUGGAGAGUUGCUCUUGCUAGACCAGAGUGCUGGUUCCAAGUAUUCAGUACUAAAAUUGGAGGACACUGUUUAAGUACAUAUAGACAGCUGUGUUUCAAUCUAGCUGCAGAAUAUCCCACUUCAUUUUUGAGAUCAUGAGAGAUACAGGAUGACUGAUUUCCCAAAAUGAUAGUGGGAUAUGUUAGAUAAAAAUGCCAAAAACAAGCACCCUCACUUGACAAAGGUUAUUUGUAUGGAAUUCAAGAAAAACUGUGUAUUUGGGGGUACAAUUUUUAACAUGCCAGGUGAGUAUUUCUUCUAUUCCUUAGUUCCAGUUAAAACAAUGUGGCUACUUAUCCAAUGAAUUCUGUGGCUAAGUGAAUUUGCAACAAAAAAAAAAUGUGCUUGAUGCCUUUACUCUCCUUUUUAAUCUAGAAAAUAUGUGGAAUUUUCAGAUCUAUAUGCUUUCUUCAGGUUGGUCUCACGUUGAUGGAGAUGCAACAAAGAUAAAACAGAGCCUGCAUUAAAGAAGCCCUAGGAGACACUCUACAAAGGUUG